UUCCUUCGUUGAGAAUGCUACGAAGGUUACUCAAACAAGCAUUAACCUUUUAAAUUCUGGUAUAACUAGCUGCCUUAAAAACGCUGGGAUUGACUUAAACAACCUACCAGAGGUGAAUGAGUUAUUUGAUGAAGACAACCCAAUCUCAAAUCCUUUUGCUGGUAUUGACCAAGAGUAUCUCCAAUAUGAAUACUACAAGAAGGAGUUUAAUCUUGUGGAACCACAAAAGAUUGUUCUUGGAAAAUACCACACAAAGAAAA